AGGAGCAACAGCCCUAGUGGCGGGGCCAGCUCUGGAAACCUGGAUUCAGCUCCGGCAGGAACUCCGGAGCUCUCCGUCUGCAGGGCCUGGAGGCUCCGGGGCGGG
rnacentral:pre_miRNA from 1 species